UACAGAGGGUGCGAGCGUUAAUCGGAAUUACUGGGCGUAAAGGGCUCGUAGGCGGCCAACUAAGUCGGAUGUGAAAUCCCCAGGCUCAACCUGGGAACUGCAUCCGAUACUGGAUGGCUUGAAUUCGGGAGAGGGAUGCAGAAUUCCAGGUGUAGCGGUGAAAUGCGUAGAUAUCUGGAGGAAUACCGGUGGCGAAGGCGGCAUCCUGGACCGACAUUGACGCUGAGGAGCGAAAGCCAGGGGAGCAAACGGG
rnacentral:rRNA from 1 species